rnacentral:rRNA from 1 species
CCUUUCCUACGGGAGGCAGCAGUGGGGAAUAUUGGGCAAUGGGCGCAAGCCUGACCCAGCAACGCCGCGUGAAGGAAGAAGGCUUUCGGGUUGUAAACUUCUUUUCUCAGGGACGAAGCAAGUGACGGUACCUGAGGAAUAAGCCACGGCUAACUACGUGCCAGCAGCCGCGGCAAUACGUAGGGGGCAAGCGUUAUCCGGAUUUACUGGGUGUAAAGGGCGUGUAGGCGGGGACGCAAGU